rnacentral:rRNA from 1 species
UGAGUAACCUGCCCUUAAACUCUGGGAUAAGCCUGGGAAACUGGGUCUAAUACCGGAUAUGACUCCUCAUCGCAUGGUGGGGGGUGGAAAGCUUUAUUGUGGUUUUGGAUGGACUCGCGGCCUAUCAGUUUGUUGGUGAGGUAAUGGCUCACCAAGGCGACGACGGGUAGCCGGCCUGAGAGGGUGACCGGCCACACUGGGACUGAGACACGGCUCAGACUCCGUACGGGAGCAG